rnacentral:rRNA from 1 species
UGGGGAAUAUUGCACAAUGGGCGCAAGCCUGAUGCAGCCAUGCCGCGUGUAUGAUGAAGGCCUUCGGGUUGUAAAGUACUUUCAGCGGGGAGGAAGGGAGUUAAGUUAAUACCUUUGCUCAUUGACGUUACCCGCAGAAGAAGCACCGGCUAACUCCGUGCCAGCAGCCGCGGUAAUACGGAGGGUGCAAGCGUUAAUCGGAAUUACUGGGCGUAAAGCGCACGCAGGCGGUUUGUUAAGUCAGAUGUGAAAUCCCCGGGCUCAACCUGGGAACUGCAUCUGAUACUGGCAAGCUUGAGUCUCGUAGAGGGGGGUAGAAUUCCAGGUGUAGCGGUGAAAUGCGUAGAGAUCUGGAGGAAUACCGGUGGCGAAGGCGGCCCCCUGGACGAAGACUGACGCUCAGGUGCGAAAGCGUGGGGAGCAAACAGG